AACGAACGCUGGCGGCAUACCUAACACAUGCAAGUCGAACGAGACCUUCGGGUCUAGUGGCGCACGGGUGCGUAACGCGUGGGAACCUGCCCUUAGGUUCGGAAUAACUCCCCGAAAGGGGUGCUAAUACCGGAUAAUGUCUUCGGACCAAAGAUUUAUCGCCUUUGGAUGGGCCCGCGUUGGAUUAGCUAGUUGGUAGGGUAAAAGCCUACCAAGGCGACGAUCCAUAGCUGGUCUGAGAGGAUGAUCAGCCACACUGGGACUGAGACACGGCCCAGACUCCUACGGGAGGCAGCAGUGGGGGAUAUUGGACAAUGGGUGAAAGCCUUAUCCAGCAAUGCCGCGUGAGUGAAGAAGGACUGAGGGUUGUAAAGAUCUUUUACACCGGAGGGUAAUGACAGUACCUGGAGAAUAAGCUCCGGCUAACUCCGUG
rnacentral:rRNA from 1 species